rnacentral:tRNA from 1 species
GCCCCUAUCGUUUAAUGGUUAGGACCUCUCUUUUUCAUAGAGAUAAUAGGGGUUCAAUUCCCCUUAGGUGCA